AGAGAAGGAUGAUAAGAUCAUUGCAGUAUGCGCUGAUGACUCAAAAGAGUAUCGACACACUACACUGACAUUAAAGAACUCUCCCCCCUCAUCGACUGGCUGAGAUCCGGCGUUUCUUUGAAGAUUACAAGAAGAAUGAGAACAAAGGGGUUGCAGUUAAUGAAUUUUUGCCUUCGGACACUGCUCACUCGGCUAUCCAGUACUCCAUGGACCUUUAUGCUCAAUAUAUCUUGUAUCUUGCAGACUUUGAGGCGAUAGGUGGCAGGGUCAAUUCCACUUAUCUGAGCAAUCAGUUCAAAUAAUUGAAAGAAAUGGAGAGGUCAAGAUUUCUGCUAUAAGUUUUGUAUUAAGGCUCCGUACGUAUCAGUGCUUGUUUGCUUCAACAAACAUCAACUGUUGAGAGUUAUUAUAUUAUUUAUUUUCUUUUUGGUUA